rnacentral:rRNA from 1 species
GAUGAACGCUGGCGGCGUGCCUAAUACAUGCAAGUCGAGCGAACGGACGAGAAGCUUGCUUCUCUGAUGUUAGCGGCGGACGGGUGAGUAACACGUGUAUAACCUACCUAUAAGACUGGGAUAACUUCGGGAAACCGGCUCUAAUACCGGAUAAUAUUUUGAACCGCAUGGUUCAAAAGUUAAAGACGGUCUUGCUGUCACUUAUAGAUGGAUCCGCGCUGCAUUAGCUAGUUGGUAAGGUAACGGCUUACCAAGGCAACGAUGCAUAGCCGACCUGAGAGGGUGAUCGGCCACACUGGCACUGAGACACGGUCCAGACUCCUACGGGAGGCAGCAGUAGGGAAUCUUCCGCAAUGGGCGAAAGCCUGACGGAGCAACGCCGCGUGAGUGAUGAAGGUCUUCGGAUCGUAAAACUCUGUUAUUAGGGAAGAACAUAUGUGUAAGUAACUGUGCACAUCUUGACGGUACCUAAUCAGAAAGCCACGGCUAACUACGUG